rnacentral:rRNA from 1 species
UGGCGAACGGGUGAGUAACACGUGGGUGAUCUGCCCUGCACUUCGGGAUAAGCUUGGGAAACUGGGUCUAAUACCGGAUAGGAGCCAUCUUUAGUGUGGUGGUUGGAAAGUUUUUUCGGUGUGGGAUGAGCUGCGGCCUAUCAGCUUGUUGGUGGGGUAAUGGCCUACCAAGGCGGCGACGGGUAGCCGGCCUGAGAGGGUGUACGGCCACAUUGGGACUGAGAUACGGCCCAG